rnacentral:rRNA from 1 species
UACGUAGGGGGCAAGCGUUGUCCGGAUUUAUUGGGCGGUAAAGAGCGUGUAGGCGGUUAGGUAGGUCCGUUGUGAAAACUCGAGGCUCAACCUCGAGACGCCGAUGGAAACCAUCUGACUAGGAGUCCGGGAAGAGGAGAGUGGAAUUCCGUGGAUGUAGCGGUGAAAUGCGCAGAUAUCAGGAAGAACACCCGUGGCUAAGGCGGCUCUCUAGUACGUGAC